GCAGAUCAGGUGAAUGUGUCAUCAGAGGAACCAAAGUCAGAAGUUUGUGAUCCAUCAUGUCACUCACCGCUCCCUGUGGAGUCAGUACAGCUGGACUCAGUGGAAAUAUCAGUGGAAACGACACUGAAUGGACACAUGGUUCCAGAAGUUUCUAUUGAGGGUUAGCACAAUGCUACACAACCCAAAAGAUGUUUUAUGUUUUGUAUGCCCCUUGUUCACUUAGAAGAAGGACUGAAAACUUUACAGGAGUCAGCCAGACCUUUUCAUUUUUUAGGGAUUAGGACGGAACAGUCAGGAAAUCAAGGGGACAUCCCUGCUUUGAAGUGCCUUUCCUGUCCUGCUUUCUGCUGAAACAUCAAAUCCAGAUGUGAACAUGUGGAAAGCGAUGCUCUCGAGGCAGCAGCAGAGGAAACAAACAUGUUGCGGCUCAUUUGAAUCUUUUCACACAUCGAAAGCACAUACAGAGAGUUUAUGUUUACAGUGGGAAAAAAUGGACGUGAAGAGGUCUGGAUUCCUAAAAAUGAAAAAGAUGAAUUUUCUUAGCUUGUCCCCACUUCUUCAGAACAACGCCACUCUACAAGCAGAUUGUGUUUUGGAAGCACUGCAACAUGUAUGAUUGAGCCCGUUUGUAGUUAUGCUUUUUUUCUAUUUGUUACAGUUUAUUUUGCUCAGAAUUUUUUUUUUUUAUAUAUAUAGAUAAAC